AACGUAGGAGACAAACGUUAUCCGGAGUUACUGGGCGUAAAGGGCGUGUAGGCGGUUAGUUAAGUCUGGCGUGAAAGCUCUCGGCUAAACCGGGAGAGGUCGUUGGAUACUGGCUGACUAGAGGACGGUAGAGGCGUGUGGAAUUCCGGGUGUAGUGGUGAAAUGCGUAGAGAUCCGGAGGAACACCAGUGGCGAAGGCGACACGCUGGGCCGUACCUGACGCUAAGGCACGAAGGCCAGGGGAGCAAACGGG
rnacentral:rRNA from 1 species